rnacentral:rRNA from 1 species
CAGUCGAGGGGUAACAGGGAGUGCUUGCACUCCGCUGACGACCGGCGCACGGGUGCGUAACGCGUAUGCAACCUACCUUUUACAGGGGGAUAGUCAAGAGAAAUUUUGAAUAAUACCCCAUACGAUCUUAAUUACACCUGUACUAAAGAGGAAAACUUCGGUGGUAAAAGAUGGGCACGCGUCCUAUUAGUUAGAUGGUGAGGUAACGGCUCACCAUGACUACGAUAGGUAGGGGUCCUGAGAGGGAGAUCCCCCACACUGGUACUGAGACACGGACCAGACUCUUACGGGAGGCAGCAGUGAGGAAUAUUGGACAAUGGAGGCAACUCUGAUCCAGCCAUGCCGCGUGCAGGAAGACUGCCCUAUGGGUUGUAAACUGCUUUUAUACAGGAAGAAACACUCCCUCGUGAGGGAGCUUGACGGUACUGUACGAAUAAGGAUCGGCUAACUCCGUGCCAGCAGCCGCGGUAAUACGGAGGAUCCAAGCGUUAUCCGGAAUCAUUGGGUUUAAAGGGUCCGUAGGUGGUUUGCUAAGUCAGAGGUGAAAUCCUGCCGCUUAACGGUAGAACUGCCUUUGAUACUGGCAAACUUGAGUUAUUGUGAAGUAGUUAGAAUGUGUAGUGUAGCGGUGAAAUGCAUAGAUAUUACACAGAAUACCGAUUGCGAAGGCAGAGUACUAACAAUAUACUGACACUGAGGGACGAAAGCGUGGGUAGCGAACAGGAUUAGAUACCCUGGUAGUCCACGCCGUAAACGAUGGUCACUAGCUGUUUGACUAACAAUGGUUAGUUGAGUGGCUAAGCGAAAGUGAUAAGUGACCCACCUGGGGAGUA